CCUACGGGAGGCAGCAGUCGAGAAUCAUUCACAAUGGGCGAAACCCUGAUGGUGCGACGCCGCGUGGGGGAAUGAAGGUCUUCGGAUUGUAAACCCCUGUCAUGUGGGAGCAAAUGAAAAAGAUAGUACCACAAGAAGAAGAGACGGCGAACUCUGUGCAAGCAACCGCGGUAAUACAGAGGUUUCAAGCGUUGUGCGGAAUCACUGGGCGUAAGGCGUGCGUAGGCUGUUUCGUAAGUCGUGUGUGAAAGGCGCGGGCUCAAAUCGCGAACUGCACAUGAUACUGCGAGGCUAGAGUAAUGGUGGGGGAACCGGAAUGCACGGUGUAGCAGUGAAAUGCGUAGAGAUCG
rnacentral:rRNA from 1 species